CGGCAGCAUAGAGAGCUUGCUCUCUGAUGGCGAGUGGCGAACGGGUGAGUAACAUAUCGGAACGUGCCUAGUAAUGGGGAACAACUAACCGAAGGGUUAGCUAAUACCGCAUACGACCUACGGGUGAAAGCAGGGGAUCUUCGGACCUUGCGUUAUUGGAGCGGCCGAUAUCUGAUUAGCUUGUUGGUAGGGUAAAAGCCUACCAAGCCGACGAUCAGUAGCUGGUCUGAGAGGACGAUCAGCCACACUGGAACUGAGACACGGCCCAGACUCC
rnacentral:rRNA from 1 species